rnacentral:rRNA from 1 species
CCUACGGGAGGCAGCAGUGGGGAAUCUUGCGCAAUGGGCGAAAGCCUGACGCAGCAACGCCGCGUGCGGGAAGAAGGCUUUAGGGUUGUAAACCGCUUUCAGCAGGGAAGAAAAUGACGGUACCUGCAGAAGAAGGUGCGGCCAACUACGUGCCAGCAGCCGCGGUGACACGUAGGCACCAAGCGUUGUCCGGAUUUAUUGGGCGUAAAGAGCUCGUAGGCGGUUCAGUAAGUCGGGUGUGAAAACUCUGGGCUUAACCCAGAGCCGCCACCCGAUACUGCUGUGACUUGAGUCCGGUAGGGGAGCGGGGAAUUCCUGGUGUAGCGGUGAAAUGCGCAGAUAUCAGGAGGAACACCGGUGGCGAAGGCGCCGCUCUGGGCCGAGACUGACGCUGAGGAGCGAAAGCAUGGGUAGCAAACAGGAUUAGAUACCCUGGUAGUCCAUGCCGUAAACGUUGGGCACUAGGUGUGGGCAUCAACCAACGAUGUCCGCGCCGUCGCUAACGCAUUAAGUGCCCCGCCUGGGGAGUACGGUCGCAAGACUAAAACUCAAAGGAAUUGACGG